AUGAGCUUCUCUCUGAUCCAGCUGCUGCUUCUUAAAGUGGGUUCAGGUGGCAUUUAUGUAAUCUUACACAGUCUAAUGGAAUACUGCAAAGUCUUAUGGAAUAUAGACCAGUUUUCUGAUUUUCAGGUGGAUCCCAUCAGAAGUCUCAUAGAUAAGAUCUUCACAAUUCAGUUUCCUGGGGCACAUGAAGAGUAUGUGAAGACUGGUACAGAGUAUAGGAAGGUGGCUUGGAAGCAAAGAAAACUAGCAUCAUCAUAAUGUGAUUUUAUUGCCUGGUCAUUUAAAAUCUGUUCACCUUGGAAUUAACUAAACUAUU
rnacentral:lncRNA from 11 species